AAGUGCCAUGCUGGAGGAGGUUCGGCGCACCCAGAAACCCUUUGUGAACUUAUACCUAUCUGUUGCCUCGGCGCAGGCCGGCCUCUUCACUGAGGCCCCCUGGAAACAGGGAGCAGCCCGCCGGCGGCCAACUAAACUCUUGUUUCUACAGUGAAUCUCUGAGUAAAAAACAUAAAUGAAUCAAAACUUUCAACAACGGAUCUCUUGGUUCUGGCAUCGAUGAAGAACGCAGCGAAAUGCGAUAAGUAAUGUGAAUUGCAGAAUUCAGUGAAUCAUCGAAUCUUUGAACGCACAUUGCGCCCUCUGGUAUUCCGGAGGGCAUGCCUGUUCGAGCGUCAUUUCAACCCUCAAGCCUGGCUUGGUGAUGGGGCACUGCCUGUAAAAGGGCAGGCCCUGAAAUCUAGUGGCGAGCUCGCCAGGACCCCGAGCGUAGUAGUUAUAUCUCGCUUUGGAAGGCCCUGGCGGUGCCCUGCCGUUAAACCCCCAACUUCUGAAAAUUUGACCUCGGAUCAGGUAGGAAUACCCGCUGAACUUAAGCAUAUCAUUAAAGCGGAGGAAGUGGGGGAACCCCUUCGCCCACAAACCUUGGGAACUAACCUAUUUUGCCGGCCGGCCCUCCGGGCCUGGAAAGGGAACCCGCGCACACCUGUUUCGGAAUUAAAAAAAUAAGAAACCAUUUACGCAACUGG
rnacentral:rRNA from 1 species